AUUGAACGCUGACGGCAUGCUUUACACAUGCAAGUCGAACGGUAACAGGUUAAGCUGACGAGUGGCGAACGGGUGAGUAAUGCAUCGGAACGUGCCCGAUCGUGGGGGAUAACGCAGCGAAAGCUGCGCUAAUACCGCAUACGAUCUGAGGAUGAAAGCGGGGGACCGUAAGGCCUCGCGCGAUCGGAGCGGCCGAUGUCAGAUUAGGUAGUUGGUGGGGUAAAGGCCCACCAAGCCGACGAUCUGUAGCUGGUCUGAGAGGACGACCAGCCAAACUGGGAAUGAGAAACGGCCCAGACUCCUAAGGGAGGCAGCAGUGGGGAAAUUUGGACAAUGGGCGAAAGCCUGAUCCAGCAAUGCCGCGUGCAGGAAGAAGGCCUUCGGGUUGUAAACUGCUUUUGUACGGAGCGAAAAGGUCCUUUCUAAUACAAGGGGCUCAUGACGGUACCGUAAGAAUAAGCACCGGCUAACUACGUGCCAGCCGCCGCGGUAAUAC
rnacentral:rRNA from 1 species